UGGAAAAGCAUCAAUUUCAGAAAUAAUUGUUUGAUCUCAAAAAGACAGUCAAUCUACUAACCUUAUAGUAUAUGACUAACCCAAAUCAAACUCUCAGAAUAUGAAAAGAUUCAGCAGAAAAGCGACAAAAGCAAAGUAAUGUAAGUUUGUCGGUUGCAGCGUCGGAACCAAGAUUUAUUUUGCGCUGUUUCAAGCCUUAUAGUUGAUUAUACAUUAGAAGAAAAGCAGGAAACACAUUUGUGGAUUCAAACUGCAACUAGAUUCAAGCUCAAGGUUCUCCUCCGAGCUCCACUCUUAAGUUGUCAUAUGGAUAGACCUUUGGUGUAAAUGGGAUUUUGGAGGCUUUAUCAUUCCAAACAGCUAACAGUCCAAUCCCCACAAAACAACUCAACCCACCGCACAACCAAGCCAAUGCUUCAUACUUUCCAACGGUAUCAGCUAUCCGAUCGAUACAAGGCUCGGGAAAAGGAGUACCGUUGUCCCAUGUAAGUUCAUCAUUCACAUGAAGCGGCUUAUCAGGUACGAUAUGUUUUCCGACGGGAAGGCCCAUGCCGGCGCGUGUUCGAAGAGAGGAUGCGAGGGAGCGGGCGACAACACCGUUUCCGCCCAUUAUGCGAGUAGCUACAUUACUCAAUCUUCCGGCCAUUUUCCGAUGAACUGAAUCACAAAUCGUUGAAUUCCGAAGAACUGUCGGCGAGAUACGAACGAUUCCGAUCAU
rnacentral:misc_RNA from 1 species